rnacentral:rRNA from 1 species
CCUACGGGGGGCAGCAGUGGGGAAUAUUGGACAAUGGGGGGAACCCUGAUCCAGCCAUGCCGCGUGUGUGAAGAAGGCCCUCGGGUUGUAAAGCACUUUCAGUGAGGAAGAACGCCUGGUGGUUAAUACCCAUCAGGAAAGACAUCACUCACAGAAGAAGCACCGGCUAACUCCGUGCCAGCAGCCGCGGUAAUACGGAGGGUGCGAGCGUUAAUCGGAAUUACUGGGCGUAAAGCGCGCGUAGGUGGCUUGAUAAGCCGGUUGUGAAAGCCCCGGGCUCAACCUGGGAACGGCAUCCGGAACUGUCAAGCUAGAGUGCAGGAGAGGAAGGUAGAAUUCCCGGUGUAGCGGUGAAAUGCGUAGAGAUCGGGAGGAAUACCAGUGGCGAAGGCGGCCUUCUGGACUGACACUGACGCUGAGGUGCGAAAGCGUGGGUAGCAAACAGGAUUAGAUACCCUAGUAGUC